rnacentral:rRNA from 1 species
AACGAACGCUGGCGGCAUGCCUAACACAUGCAAGUCGAACGAGACCUUCGGGUCUAGUGGCGCACGGGUGCGUAACGCGUGGGAACCUGCCCUUAGGUUCGGAAUAACUCCCCGAAAGGGGUGCUAAUACCGGAUAAUGUCUUCGGACCAAAGAGUUAUCGCCUUUGGAUGGGCCCGCGUUGGAUUAGCUAGUUGGUAGGGUAAAAGCCUACCAAGGCGACGAUCCAUAGCUGGUCUGAGAGGAUGAUCAGCCACACUGGGACUGAGACACGGCCCAGACUCCUACGGGAGGGAGCAGUGGGGAAUAUUGGGCAAUGGGCGAAAGCAUGAUCCAGCAAUGCCGCGUGAGUGAUGAAGGCCUUAGGGUUGUAAAGCUCUUUUACCCGGGAUGAUAAUGACAGUACCGGGAGAAUAAGCGCCGGCUAACUCCGUG